rnacentral:rRNA from 1 species
UACGUAGGUGGCAAGCGUUGUCCGGAAUUAUUGGGCGUAAAGAGCUCGUAGGCGGUUUGUCGCGUCUGCCGUGAAAGCCCUCGGCUCAACCGAGGAAGUGCAUACGAAACUGGCGAGCUUGAAUAUGGAAGAGGGUCGCGGAAUUCCCGGUGUAGAGGUGAAAUUCGUAGAUAUCGGGAGGAACACCAGUGGCGAAGGCGGCGACCUGGGCCAAUAUUGACGCUGAGGUGCGAAAGCGUGGGGAGCAAACAGG